UCAUUAUUAUAUUUGCUUGGCGAGCAGAAAUAGCUUCCCGUUGGAGAUGGAAAAUAAGAAGACGAAAAGAAACAGAAAAUAAAAGAAAAGAGGAGUCCUCCCUCCUCCGCCUCCUCUUUCUCGUCCUCUUUCCCCUCUUGGCUCUUGCUCAAUUUAAACGGAGGACUACUUUCUCUGCCAUUUCCUUUUCUGGGAGAAGUGAUUUUGCGGUCACCCUAGAUCCUGUCGAUCUGCAAUUCAAUCUCAGUUUCACAGAAAAAAAAUGGCGAGGAUUGAGCCGCUGGAGGAGCCGACUCAGCAGCAGCAGCAGAAGAAGAAGAAUGUAAAGAGGAGCCACGGCUCCACCAAAUUCUUUGUAUUCGUGGACUACCUUUUCCUCCUCGUAUUCCUCGGUUUCCUCUGCUUCAUAAUCUCCAAGAUGCUUGGCAUUUGACUUUUCGCUUUAGAAUGAACCUGUACUCGAUAUGGCCAUGGAUAAGGAUGAUUGUAGAGCUAGAAUACAUAUAGCCAAUCCCUCUUUGGGGAAUUAAAGCCAAUGAUGAUGAUGAUGAUGAUGAUGAUGACCAGAAUGACGCAUACUAUUUUACUUCAUCAAGAAACAUACUGAAGAGAAGACAUUUCUACUUUCGUGCUCCUGUGCAUUGUCCAGUGUAGUCUUUCCUAGAAUCCUUCAUGGAAUUCUUGUAUAUUCCUGGUUCAGCUCAGAGCUUCCAAGGAAUUUUCUUUUUCUCAGUCCUGUUUAUGAUAUUCAUGAUUAAUAACUGUUUGAGAUAAUAUUUACUUAUUCUUUCCUACUUGUAGAGAUAAUAUGAUUUUUCUAUGAACUUUCAUUCCAAGUUA